rnacentral:tRNA from 1 species
UCUUUAGUAGCUCAGAGGUUAGAGCAUUCGGCUGUUAACCGAAGGGUCGUAAGUUCAAAUCUUACCUAGAGAG